CCUACGGGAGGCAGCAGUGAGGAAUAUUGGUCAAUGGUCGGGAGACUGAACCAGCCAAGCCGCGUGAGGGAUGAAGGUACAGAGUAUUGUAAACCUCUUUUGUCAGGGAACAAAGGCGGGGACGCGUCCCCGGAUGAGUGUACCUGAAGAAAAAGCAUCGGCUAACUCCGUGCCAGCAGCCGCGGUAAUACGGAGGAUGCGAGCGUUAUCCGGUUUUAUUGGGUUUAAAGGGUGCGCAGGCGGUCUGUUAAGUCAGCGGUCAAAGCCCGGGGCUCAACCCCGGCCCGCCGUUGAAACUGGCAGUCUCGAGUUGGAGAGAAGUAUGCGGAAUGCGCGGUGUAGCGGUGAAAUGCAUAGAUAUCGCGCAGAACUCCGAUUGCGAAGGCAGCAUGCCGGCUCCACACUGACGCUGAGGCACGAAAGCGUGGGUAUCGAACAGGAUUAGAUACCCUGGUAGUC
rnacentral:rRNA from 1 species